GGAUGCUUACUCAGCCAUCC
rnacentral:misc_RNA from 1 species